UACGGGGGGGGCAAGCGUUGUUCGGAAUUACUGGGCGUAAAGGGCGCGUAGGCGGCCUGCUAAGUCACACGUGAAAUCCCUCGGCUCAACCGGGGAACUGCGUGUGAUACUGGCGGGCUUGAAUUCGGGAGAGGGAUGCGGAAUUCCAGGUGUAGCGGUGAAAUGCGUAGAUAUCUGGAGGAACACCGGUGGCGAAGGCGGCGAUCUGGGAAGAUACUGACGCUGAGGUGCGAAAGCGUGGGGAGCAAACAGG
rnacentral:rRNA from 1 species